UCCUUCCUGGAAGAAGCGCUUCCCUCCUCCCUUGUUCCUCCUGGUGAUGGGAGGGGAGGGGGUUCCUCCUAUUUUCUGCAGCCCUUUACUUAGGCAGGCAUGAAUAAUUCAGGACACCGGCUCCCUUUCUGAAAGCCCAGCUACUUACCAGCUCUCCUUAAUCUAUGAGGAUGUCAGAGGCCACAACUGGGGUGGAGGCCCCUCUGUCCCUUCUGAGCAGCAGCCAGCUACCCACAGAAGGCUCCCAUCCCAGGCUCGGACCCAGGCUGCCUACACCGGAACAGACCUUGUCCAGUCCCACUUAUACUGCACAGUACUGCCAGUUUAAUCUCAUGGCGAAGUUUUGAUCAAGCCACCCCAACCGCACCCUCCCAGAGGCAGAGGAGAGCUUCCCGUUGACUGACAUGUUGAUCAGACUAAAGCAGCAGAGGCACCAUGUGCUAUCCUGGGAAUGCACAGGCAGAAUCCUCUCCUCCAGGACCCACCCAGUGGAUACAGCUGGUGCUGACCAGGAACGCAAGUGAAGGAUGAUACAGUGAAAGGUCCGGUCCAAAGUGUUUUCAUUAGAAACAGUAACUAAAAAUGGAUGCCUUCUUUCUAACAUAAUCCAGCCCACAAAAUAUUUACCUGAAUCAGCAAUCUCUUGACCGGUGAGAACAUGCUACAGAUCCUGGGAAGGAGAUUGAAAGAAACGAAUAAAUGGCAGCUUCCUGCACUUUGCUUUCAACAAUAACAAAACAUAUCGAAAGAGCAGAAUGCAGUAGUCAAUAGAUUUUCUCAUUCCUGGCAACCACAAGGCUUUCUUACAGAGAAGUUUCUCCCAGCUCAGUGUUCACCACUGGUUUGGUCAGAAGCCCAGGAAGUCUCUCUAAAGAUGUUAAGCACUUAACACUUGGUGCAGGAGGCCCUGAUUUUGUGCUUUCUACAAGGGGGCUCUCUAUCUCUGGAAGGGACAGGAAUUUGCACGAGAACUUAUGUCUGCUAUACUCUUCAAGGCACAGCACAUACUAACACAGUACUAACAGGGUAAUAGAUAAUUUACUGGAUUUUUGGGGAAUAAAUUAUUCUAAAUACACUGUGAGUUUUACUAAUUUAAAAUAUUCACAACAGAGGGCGUGCAGAAUGUGCGAAAAACAGGUAUAAGCUAGGAGAAAAUGUAAAAUGAUCUUUUAUUAACAUGGAAUUUCAUUGUAUUUUAGACUGUGAUACUAAUCCCCAACAAGCAGGGUAGAAAGGAACGAGUAAUUCUUUUUAU